GCCCGGCUGGCGUAAUGGUUAACGCGUAAGACUUCUACAGUUGUGUUAAUUCUUAACGAAUUGCACGCGCAGGAGCGAUCUUAAGAUUGCGAGUUCGAGUCUCGCGUCGGGUU